rnacentral:rRNA from 1 species
UAAGGAAUAUUGGACAAUGGAGGCAACUCUGAUCCAGCCAUGCCGCGUGAAGGAAUAAGGCCCUAUGGGUUGUAAACUUCUUUUAGACGGGACAAAACCCCUUUACGUGUAAAGGGUAGAUGGUACUGUCAGAAUAAGCAUCGGCUAACUUCGUGCCAGCAGCCGCGGUAAUACGAAGGAUGCAAGCGUUAUCCGGAAUCAUUGGGUUUAAAGGGUGCGUAGGCGGACUAAUAAGUCAGUGGUGAAAGCCUGCAGCUUAACUGCAGAAUUGCCAUUGAUACUGAUAGUCUUGAGUACAGUUGAGGUAGGCGGAAUGUGUCAUGUAGCGGUGAAAUGCUUAGAUAUGACACAGAACACCGAUUGCGAAGGCAGCUUGCUAAGCUGUAACUGACGCUGAGGCACGAAAGCGUGGGGAGC